GCACACCUGCCAGCAUCCAGAGGUUUUCCAGCUGUGGACUGCAGCGUCCUGGCUCGGUGGGCUGCGGAAGGCGGGCGAGGAGAUCCCGCCAGCGCUCUCUGUGAGUCCGCAUCCGCACCGGCUCCAGGCGCUGGGAAAAGCGGCAGGGUGUGCGCUACUCCCGACUCCGAGAUUCGGGGCUGGUUUAACGAGGAGUAAACGAACCCGUCUCUUACCAAUUACUUGUUUUCCAGAUCAGUGCAGCGCACUUUCCGUGGGCCAGGCUGUCUGCCGCCGGUUUAGGGGUCCGGGAUCUCCCAAAGCUGCGCGCAUGUGGCUUCUCUUGGUGGCUGUUCCAGUGAGGAGCUCCGUGUUGCUUAAUUGUGAGUGACCGAUCACUCAAAGGGAAAAAUUUCUAUUUCCUAACCGAAUUCCCGAGCAGCCAUUCCCGCACCACAAUCCUCAAGCCAGAGCUUGAGGCGAUUUGCCUUUUUCUUUUUCCUUUUGUUUUUCUCUUCCCUACAGGAAAACCCCCGCGGCCGGUGGGGGGCGGGGGGCAGAGAGCAUGAAGGGGGUUAGUGGGAUGCAGCCCUGCAUCUUUUUUAGAGCACUGGCCCUUGCACUGCGGGAGAAAGUUCAGGAGUAAUUUCGGCACCCCAGUGUGUAACUGCAAUAAUUUCGCAUCAUUUACUCAGAUCCACUUAUUUAGCCGCUCGGUCCCUGCAGUAGGAACAGACUAUGUGGGUGAAGUCUGUGCGUGUUCGGGGUAAGCUGAUGUGCUCCUGAGAUCGCGGCGAACGCUUUACCUAGAAGUGGACUUUUUUAAGCGUCCGUGCUGGUUGUGUCUCGCCGUCAUUCAGCCAGGAAAAGUGUUAGGGAAGGAGGAAAUUAAAGCAGCGAUCAUAUUAUGUAAACCAGCAUUUUACCCUUAACGUUCUGGAGGGCAAACCCAAAAUGGAAACUAUCGUGGGUUGUUUACAAAUACAAAGCUACAAAGCUCGCUGCCUGUUUUCAGUUGUAAGGAUGUCCUGUUCUCCGUGAGCACGGUAAAAGGGCCUGAAAGGUUCCCUUGAGCUAUCGUAUCUGCCCGCCUAAUUCCUUUCACUUUUGUUUAUGCGAUGAAUAAACACUGCUCUGGCAGGAGAGCGGGGCCGUUGGAUGGAAACGUGUGUGCGGCGGGAGGAGGGGGCCCGACGGGGCCGCGGGCUCUCAGAGGGUUUUCAGCUCCUCCGGCCGCCCGACGGGGACCGGGACCCCGCUGAGGGGGAAGUACCGCGGGACCCACCACCUCCCCGGGCGGGCGAAGCAGCCGGGCGGCUCCCCACGGAGCGAUAUCUGCACCCCACCCGCAGGCUGCCCCGCUGCCCCAGUCCCGCUCCGCCGGCGCUGGGUGUCCUCGGCGGCCGGGCGCUCCGGCGCUUGCCGCGGCUCUCCUAUCAGGACGCGGCGAGGGCCGAGAGGCCGGUCUGCGCCGGGACCCAGGGCGGGUGCUGUGGAAUCCCUCAACUCUCCCGGGUCCCCGCGCGGAGCCUGCUUCGCGGUGUCCCGCUGCGGGUAUGGCUGCGGUCCCGCCCCGGCGGGGGCGCGGUCACCGUGUCCGCGGUGCUGCGCGCACCAUUCGCGCCGCACUGUCCGCCUGGCACCGGAAGCCGGCCCCGGGAGCGAAUCGACGGGCGGCUCGGACAUCCACCGCCGGGGACUGUGCUGGGGAUCCCCCGCCGGCUCCGUUCCGACCGGCGGGGUCUCACACCGUUCCGACCGGUGGACGUCCGGCCCCUCGCCUCGCCGGUGAUGCACCCCCGGAGGGAGUGGGGUCCGAGCUGUCAGCGGACCCGGGGCAAAUGCAAAUGACGGGCAGCAGACGCGGUCACUCCGGGGCGUGCCGCUGCUCCUCCGUUAGAAUCGCACCUCCGAACGCCCAGCACGACCCUCCUGGGGCAGGCACAGGAAGUCACCUCUUCCGACGGAUGCAAACUGCCCUCCACCCCCCAGCAGAGCAAAUGCUUUUCAGAGAAAAAUCAUAUUCACUACCUGGAGAUCAGAUCCCGCCUCUUUCCACCGCCCGAGGCCACGCUCUGGGUGCAGGAUCUACUCCUCGGUCCUGUCUUCUCAUACAGAAAUCAUGCACCGAGCCCACCACAGCCUUUGAAUCGCACUUGCUUCUGCUUGAAAUGUAUUCAGGGGUUUUUAAGUGGCCGGGUUGUGGUGUUUCAACCUCAGGCACGUUCAGGGGACUUCUUAAGCAGUGCUGAGCUCAGUGAAAACUGGGAAUCAAGGAGGUGUGCAAUCUCUGGCACUUGAAUACCUCUGUCUCCCUAAGCUCUAGUCACUGGUGAACGUUUUGGCUGUUACACAGAGAUAGGGAUGACUUUGGCUGACACUUCGCAGAGCAUGUACAGUGAGUGCUUCAUCACAUGCUCAGCGGUGGGACGUUCUUUUGGUGUAGCAGAAAGAGGACUGUUCUUUGCGAUGUGAAUUAAAAGGCAGAUUCAAUCUGGUUUAAGAUGUGAUCUUCCAAACCCUUCCACAGCUGAUGAAUGACUUUGUGUGUUGAUGCCAUGUUCAGCAUGUGUAUUAAAAUGAUAAUGUCUGUAAGACCCAGG
ensembl:lncRNA